rnacentral:rRNA from 1 species
CCUACGGGAGGCUGCAGUGAGGAAUAUUGGUCAAUGGGCGAGAGCCUGAACCAGCCACGUCGCGUGAGGGAGUACUGCCCUAUGGGUUGUAAACCUCUUUUGUCGGGGAGCACAAGCCGGACGUGUCCGGCUGUGAGAGUACCCGAAGAAAAAGCAUCGGCUAACACGGUGCCAGCAGCCGCGGUAAUACGGAGGAUGCGCGCGUUAUCCGGAUUUAUUGGGGUAAAGGGGUGCGCAGGCGGAUUUUAACGUCAGCGGUAAACUCGUGGGGCUCAACCCCAUCCAGCCGUUGAAACUGGGGAUCUAGAGUGUGCGAGAGGUAUGCGGAAUGCGUGGUGUAGCGGUGAAAUGCAUAGAUAUCACGCAGAACCCCGAUGGCGAAGGCAGCAUACCGGUGCACAACUGACGCUCAGGCACGAAAGCGUGGGUAUCGAACAGGAUUAGAUACCCUGGUAGUC